UAUUUACAAAGGCAUUUAAAGCCUCUAGGAAGGUGCUAUAUUGGUAGUCUGGGUUUAAAGGUAGUGCUACAGGUAGAGCCUGAGGCAAGGGGGAAACCUACAUCCCCAUGGGCCACUAGACUUAAGCUACUGGCAGUGCUGGUGUUUGCUUGAGAAAACUGAUGCUAUCUAUGCAAGAGGAGUAGACAAAGUCUUGCAAAUAGAGUUGCAGAGGAUGAGUUUGUGCUGAAGUGUGUUCAGUGCUGGAGAGAGCACUGCUUGCCUAGCUCAGGGGAGUUUUCAGAUCAUCACCACUUCUUUUCUCCAAAAGGGAAAAGGACUUUGAAGCACUCCCAGAAGAGGACCAAGCUUUGCCUUCCCUCUUGCUUCUGCGUGCUCCCAAGGCUCCUCUCAUCCCUCCCUCAGUUUGCAGUGCGGCUUUGUCUCUCUUCAUUGCUCUCAAGGUCAUCAUUGAUCAGAUUGCGAGUGCUUUACAGCUGCAGCCUUGGAUGGGCAGAAAGAGAAAUUGAUUGCAGUCAAUUCAGCAGCAGAUUGAACUGUAUUGACUUGUCCCCUAUUCAUGCAGACGAGGAGCUUUGCUACCUUUUAAUUACCACAGCUAUCCCUUCUUGGCAUCAGUGGGAUGGUUGCACAGGAGUGGAGGAGUUUAUAGGGUCUUGAGGAGAUGCUUUAUGGUGUGCUGGGCUUUUUUGUGAUUCAUCAGGACCAUAUGAGAGAGCCUCUGGCUGGUGAGGGAAUCCCAGCGAUCCAGUCUUCUUGCCUGUGCACAGUGCCUAUCCCUGGAGGAGUCUGCCACUGGGAGUGACUUUUAUUUUCCACUGUGGAAGCCAGCCAUUUUCAAGAAAGUGGCACUCUGCUGAAGAAACAGCAGCCGCAGGUGGUAUAAGGGUUAUUCCUUUGAGCUGGGCACACUUGGCAGGAAAGGCAGAGGAUCAUUUGGCAGAAGUCACAUUGAGAAAUGUUGCUCCCACUCUCCCUGCCUUUGUCUCAGCACACAGAGGAGUGAUGUGCUGCUGCAGACUUUCUCUAACAGCUGGAUGAACCAAUCUCCUGAUUAGCAAGUCCUUGGACCAAAUCAUGAAUUCUUGGCUUGAGGGAGAAGAUCUGGUUUUGUGGCUUUUGCUUGCAUCUAGGGAUCAGGAGAGACUGGAAUGCAUUCAGCUGACCCCUGCAGAAAACAAGAUGUACAUGAGUGAUUUCCAUGGAGCCACUCGGGCUUCUCACCCUGGGUUCUGCUUCUGGCUCUGUCCACGGGCUUGCAGGCUCUGUCGGCUCUAGCACAGUAAUUUGUUGCUAUCAUAGAAAGUGCACUUGGCAUUUCUGAAAGGUGCAGGAUUGGCAGCUUCAGAAGACUGAAAUCCUCUGUUCAUCUGCUGAAUUGAUGCCAAUAGCACCAGCACGAAGAAUGAGAGAAGAGCAGUGAUUCCAGCAGGGCUGGUGAAUAACCUUUUUGUUGUUGUAAAAUGCAAAAGUUUUUUUUAAAAAAAGCAGAACAACAAAAUGAUGUUCAUCUGGGGCCAGAGAGAGUAACUUUUUUGACUGUUGAAACUAGUCUGAGUAAGACAAUGACAUAAAAGGAAACAUCAAAAGUCAUUUCAAAACAGAGUUAAAAAUCAACAUUUUAGAGAAGUGGAAAAAGUUCAUUUCCACCCACACACAC
rnacentral:lncRNA from 1 species